GACGAACCGUGCGAACGUUGUUCGGAAUCACUGGGCUUAAAGGGCGCGUAGGCGGGCCGGCAAGUCCGGGGUGAAAGCCCCCAGCUCAACUGGGGAAGCGCCUUGGAUACUGCCGGCCUGGAGGGAGGUAGGGGCGUGCGGAACUUCCGGUGGAGCGGUGAAAUGCGUAGAUAUCGGAAAGAACAUCAGUGGCGAAGGCGGCUUUCUGGACUCAUACUGACGCUGAGGCACGAAAGCGUGGGGAGCAAACAGG
rnacentral:rRNA from 1 species